AAAAACAUCGCUCUUUGAUUAUACAAAUAUAAAGAGUCGAACCUGCCCAGUGAAAUUUUUAACGGCCGCGGUACUCUGACCGUGCAAAGGUAGCAUAAUCAUUUGCCUUAUAAUUGAAGGCUAGUAUGAAUGGUUUGACGAGAACAACACUGUCUCCUUUAUUAUUUUCAAGAAUUUAACUUUUAGGUGAAGAGGCCUAAAUUUUAUUGAAGGACAAGAAGACCCUGUCGAGCUUAAAAGACACCAUAGAAUCCUAUAUAUUUUUAAAUAAAUUUCUAUUAAGCUUUUUAGUUGGGGCGACUAAGGAACAAAAAAAGCUUCUUGCCAAAAUAAGACAAUCAUGUUUAGAUCCAGUAUAAAAGCUGAUCAAAGAAAUUAGUUACCGCAGGGAUAACAGCAUAAUCUCUCUUGAGAGACCUAAUCGAAAGAGGGGGUUGUGACCUCGAUGUUGGACUAGAAUAUCCUAAAGAUGUAGAAGUCUUUAAGGGUUGGUCUGUUCGACCAUUAAAAUUCUACGUGAUCUGA
rnacentral:rRNA from 1 species